rnacentral:rRNA from 1 species
UACGUAGGGGGCAAGCGUUGUCCGGAUUUAUUGGGCGUAAAGAGCGUGUAGGCGGCCAUUCAGGUCAGCUGUGAAAACUCGAGGCUCAACCUCGAGACGUCGGUUGAAACCGUUUGGCUAGAGUCCGGAAGAGGAGAGUGGAAUUCCCGGUGUAGCGGUGAAAUGCGCAGAUAUCGGGAAGAACACCGGUGGCGAAGGCGGCUCUCUGGACCGUAACUGACGCUGAGGCGCGAAAGCGUGGGGAGCAAACAGGG